GACGUAGGGCGCGAGCGUUGUCCGGAUUUAUUGGGCGUAAAGAGCUCGUAGGUGGUUCUGUAUGUCUACCGUGAAAGCGUACGGCUCAACUGUAUUUUGUCGGUAGAAACUGCAGGACUUGAGGCUGGGAGGGGCUGGUGGAAUUCCCUGUGUAGCGGUGAAAUGCGUAGAGAUGGGGGAGAACACUCGUGGCGAAGGCGGCCAGCUAGACCAGUUCUGACACUGAGGCGCGACAGCGUGGGGAGCAAACAGG
rnacentral:rRNA from 1 species